UGGGGAAUAUUGCACAAUGGGCGAAAGCCUGAUGCAGCAACGCCGCGUGAGUGAUGAAGGCCUUCGGGUUGUAAAGCUCUGUCUUCUGGGACGAUAAUGACGGUACCAGAGGAGGAAGCCACGGCUAACUACGUGCCAGCAGCCGCGGUAAUACGUAGGUGGCAAGCGUUGUCCGGAUUUACUGGGCGUAAAGGAUGCGUAGGCGGGUACUUAAGUCAGAUGUGAAAAUCCCGGGCUUAACUUGGGAACUGCAUUUGAAACUGGGUAUCUAGAGUGCGGGAGAGGAAAGUGGAAUUCCUAGUGUAGCGGUGAAAUGCGUAGAGAUUAGGAAGAACACCAGUGUCGAAGGCGACUUUCUGGACCGUAACUGACGCUGAGGCAUGAAAGCGUGGGGAGCAAACA
rnacentral:rRNA from 1 species